ensembl:snRNA U6 U6 spliceosomal RNA
GUGCUUACUUCGGCAGCACAUAUACUAAAAACUGGAAUGAUACAGAGAAGAUUAGCAUGGCCCCUGUGCAAGGAUGACAGGCAGAUUUGUGAAGUGUUCUAUAUUUUU